rnacentral:lncRNA from 1 species
GACAAUAAGCAAAGAGGGACAGCUGUAGAAGCCCAAAAUUUGCCCACAAAACCCAAACCCAUUUACAAUCCAAAAUUUACCUAGCCCACCACCCCAAAUUACCCAGACCCGAAUACAAAUAACCCAAAACCCAGUUACAACCAGACCCACUACCCAAUUACAAUAACUAAACCUACCCAAACCCAAUACUCAAAACUCGCCCAAACUUAAAAGGCUCAAUUUUUGACCCAACUCUAGACUUAGAGUUUAAAAAAAAUGAAACCCUAAACUACCUCAACGUCGUAACCACCCUUGACCGUCUUCCAUGGCCACCUGCUCCACCUGCCAUACUCUGCAAGACAAAGAGAACACGCAAACAGCAAAAUCUAGGGAAACAGACAGUGUAAAAAAUGGCUAUAAAAAGCCAAACAAAGUAUUGUAAAUGGAUUCGACAGUUCAAACAAAAAAGGGCAAUAAAAUAGCAUUCGAUUUUCGAAACCAAACAUCGAUUCCAUCAAUAUUCAAGUAAGAGAAUAUAACCAAAUCGAACCCAAUAUCAGAGAUUGAAGCACAGAAAGCAUAAACCUAAGGUGAUUUUUUUCCCAUUUUAGUUUUGUUUUUGGACCAAUUUUCUCACACAUAUAUAUCAAAACAUAAAAAAAUAUAAAAUAAAAAUAAAAAAAUAAAAAAUUUUACCUUUUCCGGUCACCGUGCACGGUGACCGGCCCAUGGCCGGAAAUCCCCUCCCCCUCCAUUCUCUCCUUUUUUUUUUCUUUCUCUCCUCAC